rnacentral:sRNA from 1 species
UUCGUCUGCAGUUUAUGAGGAUGAGCACCUCCGCAGGAGGUUCGAGCCUCGCGAAGCGAGACAACGUUGCUUUAGCAACGGCCCGCAGGGCGCGCAUCAACGAUGCGCGUGAAUCCUCUCUCGCCGACCA